GUACGGGAAAAGGUUCGCGGCGCUCGGGGAGCUGAGGCCGGGCAGCCCGUCCCGCGGUGCCCGCAGCGACCUCCGCUCCCGCACGGGAGCGGCACGCGGUGCUCGGCCUCCCUUUGAUGUCUCCAAUUCUGCCCCUCUGAGUCAUGUCACCCGUGGGCGUUUCCCUCCGCGGAGACGCAGAGUGGCGUGAUGCAAGGCGUUUAUUUGUGUUUAUGUUUUGUUUUGCCGUCACGAUGCGUGCCUGAGAAAUGAGAGAGCCACCCGAGGCGGUGCUGACACGGGCACGGAGCUAAAUAUAGGCCGCUUGGGAAAGGGCAGGUGCUGCAGGAGGGAAGGGUGUUUGGCAAGCGCCAGGGCCUGUAAGCCGGCAGCACAGUACAGCUCCCCAAAAGAUAGGCCGGUCAGCAAGAACGUAAUGCACCGGGGCCUGACUUCGGGUUGGGGAUGGAGCUCGAAAGGUGGGUCUAGAGAUCACUUGGCGUCCCCAAGGAUGCACACCACACAGCCAGGAAGAGAAUCUCUUCUAGGUGACUUCCAUGACUGGAUAGCAGGGCAUGCCGCUGCAUCUUCCUGCAGCUCUGCUUACCUCUCCCAUCACAGCUCCCCUCCAGGAGCCUCUGCAGCACGUGCCCUCAGGACACCAGAGAACUUCUCUGAGCUAGUUUGCCUUCUGAAAGAGCAACUGCGUCCCUUUUGUCUCUGUGUUUGUUACAACCACUUCCCACUGGGACUAUAAACAUAUUAGUACACUUUAAUCUGAUCAGAAUUAAGUAUACGCCUGGAGAAGAUAUUAUAUAACAGCAAGACAAUAAACAAUGAUUGCAGCAGCACUAUGCAAUGCCAGUGAGUCCUUCUCAAAAUUACAGCAUAGUCAAUACAGAUCAAACAGAUGAGAUGAGAAGGGGAAGAUUGCUGUUUGCUAAUACAAAGAACACAGCUUCCACAUUGUUUCCACAUCAUUUCAAUAUUUGUUUUGCUCCUAAGUGUUUCCUUUUCAAAAUUAGGGCAUUUUCAGAUGCCUUCUUUUUCUUUUCCCCUUUGUAAGACAGCUAAGGCCAAAUAAUUCAAAAAGUUUUGGUUUUGACUUCUGUAAAAAGAGCUUGAAAAACUAAAGUGAAACGUAAAUUUGUACUGGAAUGCAGUUUUCAGUUUGAAAAUGUUACAAGAGUACUUUGCAAAAAAUUCAGUGUUGUUUUCAAAAACCAAAGCUUUUCCUAAGAACUGUUUUUGAGGAACUGACAUGUCUUCUUCCAAUAAAAUUAAAAAAAAAAGAAAAAGAACUGCUGAAAACCAUCCCUAUGUGCUUUUCCUGUAUCCAUUGCAGCAGAUUGCUCCAGAUUAACUUCUCCUAUUACUGCUUUUGUGCUUCCUCUCAUACUGGUUUUAUGCUUAUGGCAGCCUAGGGACACUAGCUUCUUCCCUUCUCUUGAUCCAAUUUGCUUGUUGUUUGUGAGUAUUUUAAUCUAAAAGUUUGAAAAGCGCUGACUUGCCCUUAGUUGCUGUUGGUUUAGACUCAAUAUGCUGAAUAAAAAUAAAAAUACUUAUACUCCAAUUCUCAUGUCACGUAGUUUUAUUUUACAUUGUGAGCUUACAGCACCCUAUCACAAGUAUUGCUAAUGCUAACUUUAUUAUUAAAAGCUGAAAUUGCAAUCUUGAGACUUGUUUGUGUGUGAAUUUAUGAUCCAGUGGGGAUAUCUGCUGUAUAGAAAUUCACCCACAGCUCCUUCCUUCAUGUCUGAGGUCUGUUCUGUGACUGCACAGGGUGGAAACAACUUUUUUAGUGCAAAGUUUCUACUUGCAUUCCACAGUGUACAAUAUGAAGUUUAGCUAAAAGUUAAGGCUUUAAGCUUACACAAAUGACUAAUUUAGAGGUUCAUUAAGUGCUUAUAAUGUUAAUUCUUGGUAGGUCAAAGCCAGGAACAAGACAGAUGGGUGGAAGACAGAUUAACAUAGGAAGAAGUAGCCGCCCUAUUGCUUAAACAGAUCAUCUCAGCUAUCUCGCCUGCAGAUCUUCUGUAUCUUCUGUCAUAUCAGUCCUCCUCUGCUUUUAGAUAUCACUCAUAUCACUAAAUAUGCUCACUUGAAUGAGACGUUACCAUCUUUCCAUCAGCAUGCACUCACCUUAGUCAUGCAAAGAGUAGCAGAAAUUUUGGAAGAAAGUGAAGAGCGCAUUACAUGAGAGUCAAUCUUAAUUUACCUUCUCACAACGAAGAUUUUAAAACCGGAGCAUGGCUUUUGUUUAAGAGAUAGGCACCAGCAAAACAGGCAUCCAAAGAGUGAAGCACAGGGCAGAUUUGAAUUGAGUGUGUGGAAGAUUCUGCCAGAAGUAGUUCUGCCAAAUGCAGAAUCUUAUUCAAAAUCACUGAAAGAACAACAAAGCUCAGGACAACCAGGUUUGGAAGCAGGCAAUGAAACCUUCAACACCCAUACUUAAACAUGAGGGAGAGAAGACAUACUGCCUUAUUGCACUAAGAUGCCCCAGCAAGUUGCAUGCCUGAAACUCCAUUAUGGAUUUUGGCAUCUGAAUUCUUCCACAGGAUAAAACAAGGAAUGAAACUGUUGGCUUAGAGGCAGCAAAGGAAAUCUGUUACAGGUUUAUCUCAGACCAACAACACAGGAAACCUGAGUCACCUCUUAAGGACAAAACCUGCACGUACCUAAUACAAAACAGUGGAGUUUAGAUGAAUUAUCCCUUCUAAAGGUAAGUUAGUAGUUUCUUACAAUAUUCUUACAAUAUUUAAGUCAAGUAUUAUGAGUUUGAGCACCCUCAUGGUGGCAGGCUUUUCCUUUGGCCUGAGUUGUACAUUCUCCAGCGUGAACCUAAUGCCUCUCACUCCUCCACCACUGAGCACCUAUCAGAAAAAAUCAGGUUUCAUCUUCCAUGCCCCCAUCAGGCAGCUGCAGUCAAUGCUCAGAUCCUCCCUGAGCCUUCUCAAAGGUAACCAAAGGCACUUCCCUCACGUUGCCCUGGGAUGCCAUGUGCCCUGGGCCCUCCUCAGCGCAGGAGCUGUUCACAGGACUAUCCUUAGGCAAUGUAAAAAAGUGCAUAAAAUUAUUUGCCAUGACUUGAGCUAGCACUGCACUGCACCCUCCCCAUGCCCUGGUUUCAGCCUAGAUAGUGGCAGUCACAUACUGAUGUUUGGUUCUGGGCCAGGCCUCUCAGCCAGGAAGAACUGCUGCCAUGAUGGCGUGGGGCAGGGGGUGGCCACAGGAUGGGCUGAGCCAACCCACAUGCAUUGCACAUGUCUGAUUUUGUCUGUUACUGUCACUUUAAUAUUACUGGGGAUAUGUUGCAGAAUUACUUGGGGUUUUUGAACUGUGUCCUUGGAGACUUUUAUUACAUAGCUGAUUAUAGGUAUAGGACAUCAACAGUAUUCUUUUUAAAGCACAGGGAAGGACAGCUGAUAGAAGAGGAAUAUACUACAGAUUCUGCAAAUACAAUCUUGCUUAACAGCACAGCCUGUGCCAGCUAGUAUAAAACUAUUUCUUCAUUUGACCCAAGUACCUUGAAAUCUGUAGUUACUUUUCCAAAAGAACAAGACCCCAGAAAGCAAUCAGACAGCUUCAUAUGCUAAUAUGUUCUAACUGCAUGGCUUUGAAUACAAUACAGAUGUAAUACCACAGCACCAAAGAUUGAUGAGCCUUGGCUUUUACCCAUUUUUGCAUUAUUCUUUACUGCAUUCUUCUAGUCUCCUGGAUAAUCAUGCUGUCUGUGAGCUACAGCAGAAAUGAGCCUGGCCCAUGCAAUCAUGACAAAUGAUUCUUUGUAGCUUAUUGCAAUGAUGUUAAAGCUGGAACAAAUUCCAUUAACCAGCAAUCAGAAGCCAAAAUACCAGUAAUGAGCUAUUUUCUAUUGGAAAACAAAGGCACUGGAUACCUACUAUCAAAGGUACGAAGUGUUACAAGGGACAAGCUAAAGAAAAUACCCAGGGGACAUGCACAAAGACUUUAAAUAGAAAGUUUUGUGAAGUGAAUGUAAACACAGGGUUUGUUUCUCCUUUGUAUUACACGUAUUUUCAUUGAUGCAGUCCUGAUUUCCCCAGGCUCAGAAAUUAAUAAUGCCCAGGAAGGGAAAUGCCAGGGGAAUACAGAGCAAUUCAAGCACAGGAAGAGAUUAACUACAUGGGCAGCAUACAAGGAAAGAUGAGGGAAAGGGAAUGAUGCCAAAGGCUAUCCAGCUCUGUGAACAAAUCAUUCAUUUCUUGAAUUCCCUCCCCUUCAGUGUGGUAAAGGGCAUUUGUGAAUAGGUUUUGGAUCUGAGCCGGUAACUUUUCUUGACAGUUUUGCAAAGCUGAUUUAAAUACUACUGACACAGUUUUACAUCUCCAUCUCAACUUAACAGUUAACCAGAGGAGGUGGGUUUUUGAAAGCCUCCUUUAGGUAAGGCUUGCACUAAUAUAAUUUCACUGAAGUUCAGUUAGCCUACAUUGAUGACAUUUAAAUUUUGCCUCAGAUCUUUACUAAGAAUUCAUAUAUAACUGUUCGGGUUCUUAAAUACAUCUAUCAAAAAUGGAGCCAUCCAAACAAUGCAGGAUCUCACAUGUUCUGUGUUUAUUUUUAUUUGUAAUCGAGAUUCUACAUCUGCUGUCUUCAUGGUUUGGUAGCACGAAGUACUGGAAGCCUACCAAUACAUAUUUAUAUAACUUCUCUUUUGGUCUCUUUUGGUAAAGGACAGAUUCCUUUUCUCUUCAAGUCACUAAUAAGUCACUGCAGGCUGUCUAGACUGAUUUGAACACAUGAUAUCUCAACAACGAAUGUGAGGCUAAGUUUAAAGUUGUGACCGAGCAGCCAGCUCGUCCUUCAGGUUAGCGAAGUAGGGUGCCCACACUGUGAUGGGGGAAGCUGUGUGCUGGCACCACCAGCGGCUCCUGGGGCCACCCAAGGAAGCAGUAGGAGAUCCCACACUGCCGAUCAUGGGGCUGUGGGUGAGACUUUCUGCCCCUGUGGAUGACGGGCAGAUUUCCUGGACAUUUUUCCUUAAAGACCCAUUCCAGCAGAGGGAUGCAACUCUUGGGAAAAAAAAAAUAAAUCACCUUUUCCCUUUUAUGAGUGUGUAAGAGCAAAAUAUACUGGGGUACAGGAGCAGAAGGGGGCUCAGGCUGAGCUGCACAAGGGCUGGGCAGGCACUACUGACAGCACCCACCAGUGGGCCAUGAUGUGGUGCACUACAGGUGCUUCAGCACAGCCAACAGGCAAAUCUCAUCUGCCAUGCUGAAGAGCGUCAGCUCUCAUGGGCACACACUUACAUAAAUAUUU